CCGUUUGGGGACGCGGAGGACAUUACUGAGUUACCGCUCUAUAACCCUUUGUGAACGUACCUAACCGUUGCUUCGGCGGGCAGGGGAAGCCUCUCGCGGGCCUCCCCUCCCGGCGCCGGCCCCCACCACGGGGACGGGGCGCCCGCCGGAGGAAACCAAACUCUAUUUACACGACGUAUCUUCUGAGUGGCACAAGCAAAUAAUUAAAACUUUUAACAACGGAUCUCUUGGUUCUGGCAUCGAUGAAGAACGUCGCCAAACACGAUAAGUAAUGUGAAUUGCAGAAUUCAGUGAAUCAUCGACAUCUUUGAACGCACAUUGCGCUCGCCAGCAUUCUGGCGAGCAUGCCUGUUCGAGCGUCAUUUCAACCCUCAAGCACCGCUUGGUUUUGGGGCCCCACGGCCGACGUGGGCCCUUAAAGGUAGUGGCGGACCCUCCCGGAGCCUCCUUUGCGUAGUAACUAACGUCUCGCACUGGGAUCCGGAGGGACUCUUGCCGUUAAACC
rnacentral:rRNA from 1 species